rnacentral:rRNA from 1 species
UACAGAGGGGGCAAGCGUUGUUCGGAAUUACUGGGCGUAAAGAGCGUGUAGGCGGCCACGCAGGUCCGUUGUGAAAACUGGAGGCUCAACCUUCAGACGUCGACGGAAACCGUAUGGCUAGAGUCCGGAAGAGGAGAGUGGAAUUCCUGGUGUAGCGGUGAAAUGCGCAGAUAUCAGGAAGAACACCCGUGGCGAAGGCGGUUCUCUGGGACGGUACUGACGCUGAGACGCGAAAGCGUGGGGAGCGAACAGG